AACACAUGAUGACAACUUGUUUCGGCCCCAUAUGAUCUCCUGAUUACUGUUUGAGAUCGGCUGACGUU
rnacentral:snoRNA from 1 species